UUUUUUGUGGCUGACCCAGAACCAAAGAAGACAGGAAGUUUUGUCCGCCAGGUGUACACAGCCUCAUCCCAUUCUUUUGGAAGCAGUUCAGCCAAGUCUCUCAGAUAGAUGUCAUUUUUUUGUGGCUGACCCAGAACCAAAGAAGACAGGAAGUUUGUCUGCCAGGUGCACACAGCAGCAUCCCAUUCUUUUGGAAGCAGUUCAGCCAAGUCUCUCAGUAUAGUCAAUUUUGUGUGGCUGGCUGUUACAGAACAGAUGCAGAGGGAUGAAGAUUGAAAAUUUCGACCAUUUGAAAGCUCCAGGAUAGAUCUUCAUACUCGCCUAUUUAAGGUCUACAGGGGAGGCUUCCAGGUACUCGGAAACCCGACCUGCGUGCCCCACUGAAUGAUGACUUACUGUAAUACAAUGGUACAAGACAGCUCCUUUCUGCCAGGCCUACCACCCGCAGAUAUGUACCUACAUAAUCUAUUCUUAAGAUCAUCAGUCUGAUUCCACAACUGGUACUAUGAUUCCUUCAGAGGAUUGUUUUUAAUAUUAAAGACAUCUAGAAUUUUAUC